rnacentral:tRNA from 1 species
CACCAGAUAGCUCAGUUGGUGGAGCACCCGACUAGAGUUUCAGGGGGCCUGGGUUCGAAUCCCAGUCUGGUCC